AUUGGGCAUGUGAAGUCUGCAGGAGACUGAGGAGCAGCUAUAAAUUCAGAAGGAGCCUCUCUCCCUCAGAAAUCACUUUCCUGAACCAGAUGCCACCAGGUUCUGUUUCUCUGUGGAAGAGUUGUGUUCAUCGAUGCCAUGUGAGAACAGAAAUAUUGCAGAAGAACAUGUCAAAACGAGAUACCUUGCAAAGAGACAGACAUUUCCACUUCUUUGAAAACACAGACCUCACUUCAGCAGACAAAGUUUGGCCAGGUGCAUGCCAGUCUCUUCCUCCUCCUCCUCUCUCACCCAAUGUGUCUGGUUCUCAGCCUUGCAACUCCCAAA